UAUCUGCCGUGGGCGCUGGAGAACUGAGCGGGGCUGCUCCUAGUACGAGAGGACCGGAGCGGACCCAUCCCUGGCGUUCGGGUUGUCAUGCCCACGGCACUGCCCGGUAGCUACAGGCGGAAGAGAUAAGUGCUGAAAGCAUCCAAGCACGAAACCUGCCCCGAGAUGAGUUCUCCCUGAGACUUAAAGUCUCCUGAAGGAACGUUGAAG
rnacentral:rRNA from 1 species